rnacentral:rRNA from 1 species
UACGGAGGGAGCUAGCGUUGUUCGGAAUUACUGGGCGUAAAGCGCGCGUAGGCGGCUUUGUAAGUUAGAGGUGAAAGCCCGGAGCUCAACUCCGGAACUGCCUUUAAAACUGCAUCGCUUGAAUCCAGGAGAGGUGAGUGGAAUUCCGAGUGUAGAGGUGAAAUUCGUAGAUAUUCGGAGGAACACCAGAAGCGAAGGCGGCUCACUGGCCCGAUACUGACGCUGUGGCACGAAAGCGUGGGGAGCAAACAGG